rnacentral:rRNA from 1 species
AUCAACGCUGGCGGCGUGCCUAACACAUGCAAGUCGAACGCGAAAGUGGAGCAAUCCAUGAGUAGAGUGGCAAACGGGUGAGUAACACGUGGGUGACCUGCCUUCGAGCGGGGGAUAACGUCCCGAAAGGGACGCUAAUACCGCAAAACAUCCUGCCUUUUAAGAGGUGGAGAUCAAAGCCGGGAUCGCAAGACCUGGCACUUGAAGAGGGGCCCGCGCCUGAUUAGCUAGUUGGUGGGGUAAUGGCUCACCAGGCAACGAUCAGUAUCCGGCCUGAGAGGGCGGACGGACACACUGGGACUGAGACACGGCCCAGACUCCUACGGGAGGCAGCAGUGGGAAUUGUUCGCAAUGGGCGCAAGCCUGACGACGCAACGCCGCGUGGAGGAUGAAGACCUUCGGGUCGUAAACUCCUUUCGAUCGAGACGAAUGGUUUCCGGGUGAACAAUCCGGAGAAGUGACGGUACCGAGAGAAGAAGCCCCGGCUAACUCCGUGCCAGCAGCCGCGGUAAUACGGGGGGGGCAGGCGUUGUUCGGAAUUACUGGGCGUAAGGGCUCGUAGGUGGCCAACUAAGUCAGACGUGAAAUCCCUCAGCUUAACUGGGGAACUGCGUCUGAUACUGGAUGGCUUGAGUUUGGGAGAGGGAUGCGGAAUUCCAGGUGUAGCGGUGAAAUGCGUAGAUAUCGAGAGGAACACCAGUGGCGAAGGCGAGUCCCUGGACAACUCCUGACACUAAGGCACGAAAGCUAGGGGAGCAAACAGGAUUAGAUACCCUGGUAGUCCUAGCCGUAAACGGUGCGUAUUUGCUGUAAAAGGAAUCGACCCCUUUUGUGGCGUAGCCAACGCGUUAAAUACGCCGCCUAGGAAGUACGGUCGCAAGAUUAAAACUCAAAGAAAUUGACGGGGGCCUGCACAAGCGGUGGAGUAUGUGGCUCAAUUCGAUGCAACGCGAAGAACCUUACCUGGCCUUGACAUGUAGGUAGUAGAAGGAUGAAAGUCUGACGAUUCCGCAAGGAAAGCUUACACAGGUGCUGCAUGGCUGUCGUCAGCUCGUGUCGUGAGAUGUUGGGUUAAGUCCCGCAACGAGCGCAACCCCUGCGUCCUGUUGCCACCCGAUCGAGAGGUCGGAGCACUCUGGACGGACUGCCUCGCUUCAACGAGGAGGAAGGUGGGGAUGACGUCAAGUCAGUAUGGCCCUUACGGCCAGGGCUGCACACGUACUACAAUGCCCGGCACAAAGGGAAGCAAGACCGUCAGGUGGAGCAAAUCCCCAAAAACCGGGCCCAGUUCAGAUUGUCGUCUGCAACUCGACGGCAUGAAGCUGGAAUCGCUAGUAAUGGCGCAUCAGCUACGGCGCCGUGAGUACGUUCCCAGGCCUUGUACACACCGCCCGUCACAUCAUGAAAGCCGUUUGUACCCGAAGUCGCCCCUCAAAAGGUGCCGAAGGUAUGGAUGGUGAUUGGGAUGAAGUCGUAACAAGGUA